rnacentral:snRNA from 1 species
AUCACUUCUCGGCCUUUUGGCUAAGAUCAAGUGUAGUACCAACCUAGAAAUUGGGUGACCCCAUUCCCUACUUCACAUCCUCUUGGGACAUCUUUCACUGUAGUCAUCACUGCAGCAUGCCGCUUCCUGCAGUGUAACCUGCCAGCACCUCUC